rnacentral:rRNA from 1 species
AUAGGGUAGGCGUAGCGAAAUCGAGUCUUAAUAGGGCGUUUAGUCGCUGGGUAUAGACCAGAAACCGGGCGAUCUAUCCAUGAGCAGGUUGAAGGUUAGGUAACACUGACUGGAGGACCGAACCCACUCCCGUUGAAAAGGUAGGGGAUGACUUGUGGAUCGGAGUGAAAGGCUAAUCAAGCUCGGAGAUAGCUGGUUCUCCUCGAAAGCUAUUUAGGUAGCGCCUCAUGUAUCACUCUGGGGGGUAGAGCACUGUUUCGGCUAGGGGGUCAUCCCGACUUAACAAACCGAUGCAAACUCCGAAUACCCAGAAGUGCCGAG